CAGCCGCGCUCCCCCAGGGUGCGGGCGCCGGUCCCUCGCAGUCUCCCGCGCCGCGGGGGCGGCUCGCCUGGGCUCUGUGGAGGCCACCCCUGCUGGACUCGGGACAGAGUUGAUGCCGGCCGCGGGGGACCGGGGUGGGAGGUGGCGUUGGCGACGCGGGAAUGGGAUUUGGGGUGCGGCUGCCUUGGGUGCGCAGACCCAAGACUCCGAGGAAUAGGAGAUGACUCUUCCGAGUUAACAACUGACAGAGCCUGACUAAGCAAGUGAGCAAGAAGUAGCUCUUCUUGAAGAAGACAGGUUGGCCCUCAUCACAGGAAGAAGCACCCCAUCUCCACCAUCGGAAGGGGAAGAGGAUCAGAGGGGUUGCUCCCUCUUUCUCUCCUGAUUCCCUCACUGCACAGUCUGAUGCCACAGGGGAUGCUGAUGGACAGGAGGGAUGGAUGGGACAGAAGCUGAGGAAAAGGAGGGAAGACGUAGUUGUGUUUCUACCAGUCUGACGCCAAUGUGCAGAUGAGAAGAGGAAUUGCCCUAGACAGCUCUUCAGUUUCAGGAACAUUUGAAAAUUAUUUUUCUUUCAUGUAAAAAGUGGAUGUGAUAGACCCUAAAUUUGAAGCCCUAAACCAAAGGACCAUUCGAAGCUUUUGAUAAGCCCUGGAGGUCUGCCUGCCUGUGGGAUGAGAGGGGAAAGGUGGGAGCUAGGGGAGCAUUGCAGGUGGGUACCGCACGGCUGGUGAGAUCCCGCUGAAGAGGUGUGGGGGUGUGCCUCUAAAUCAUGCACAGGGUGGUAAUCCAGGGGCCUCAAUAAAAGUAUAAUUUA